rnacentral:rRNA from 3 species
CACACGACUCUCGGCAACGGAUAUCUCGGCUCUCGCAUCGAUGAAGAACGUAGCAAAAUGCGAUACCUGGUGUGAAUUGCAGAAUCCCGUGAACCAUCGAGUUUUUGAACGCAAGUUGCGCCCGAGGCCUUCUGGCUGAGGGCACGCCUGCCUGGGCGUCACGC